rnacentral:rRNA from 1 species
CCAACAGGGAUUGCCCCAGUAACGGCGAGUGAAGCGGCAACAGCUCAAAUUUGAAAUCUGGCCCCCGGGUCCGAGUUGUAAUUUGUAGAGGAUGCUUUUGGCGAGGUGCCUUCCGAGUUCCCUGGAACGGGACGCCACAGAGGGUGAGAGCCCCGUCUGGUCGGACACCGAGCCUCUGUAAAGCUCCUUCGACGAGUCGAGUAGUUUGGGAAUGCUGCUCAAAAUGGGAGGUAUAUGUCUUCUAAAGCUAAAUAUUGGCCAGAGACCGAUAGCGCACAAGUAGAGUGAUCGAAAGAUGAAAAGCACUUUGAAAAGAGGGUUAAACAGUACGUGAAAUUGUUGAAAGGGAAGCGCCUAUGACCAGACUUGGGCCCGGCGAAUCAUCCAGCGUUCUCGCUGGUGCACUUCGCCGGGCACAGGCCAGCAUCAGUUUGGCGCGGGGGAUAAAGGCUGUGGGAACGUGGCUCCCCCGGGAGUGUUAUAGCCCACUGCGUAAUACCCUGCGCCGGACUGAGGUACGCGCAUUGCAAGGAUGCUGGCGUAAUGGUCAUCAGCGACCCGUCUUGAAACACGGACCAAGGAGUCGUCUUCGUAUGCGAGUGUUCGGGUGUCAAACCCCUACGCGUAAUGAAAGUGAACGCAGGUGAGAGCUUCGGCGCAUCAUCGACCGAUCCUGAUGUUCUCGGAUGGAUUUGAGUAAGAGCAUACGGGGCCGGACCCGAAAGAAGGUGAACUAUGCCUGUAUAGGGUGAAGCCAGAGGAAACUCUGGUGGAGGCUCGCAGCGGUUCUGACGUGCGAAUCGAUCGUCAAAUAUGGGCAUGGGGGCGAAAGACUAAUCGA